AGAUUGAACGCUGGCGGCAUGCCUUACACAUGCAAGUCGAACGGCAGCACGGGAGCAAUCCUGGUGGCGAGUGGCGAACGGGUGAGUAAUAUAUCGGAACGUGCCCAGUCGUGGGGGAUAACGCAGCGAAAGCUGUGCUAAUACCGCAUACGAUCUAUGGAUGAAAGCGGGGGAUCGCAAGACCUCGACGCGAUUGGAGCGGCCGAUAUCAGAUUAGCUAGUUGGUAGGGGUAAAAGCCUACCAAGGCGACCGGAUCUGUAGUCUAGGUCUGAGAGGACGACCAGGCACACUGGAACUGAGACACGGUCCAGACGUACCUACGGGAGGCAGAC
rnacentral:rRNA from 1 species